AACGAACGCUGGCGGCAUGCCUAACACAUGCAAGUCGAACGAAGCCUUCGGGCUUAGUGGCGCACGGGUGCGUAACGCGUGGGAAUCUGCCCCUUGCUUCGGAAUAACAGUUAGAAAUGACUGCUAAUACCGGAUGAAGUCUUCGGACCAAAGAUUUAUCGGCAAGGGAUGAGCCCGCGUAGGAUUAGGUAGUUGGUGGGGUAAAGGCCUACCAAGCCGACGAUCCUUAGCUGGUCUGAGAGGAGGAUCAGCCACACUGGGACUGAGACACGGCCCAGACUCCUACGGGAGGCAGCAGUGGGGAAUAUUGGACGAUGGACGCAAGUCUGAUCCAGCAAUGCCGCGUGAGAGAUGAAGGGCUUAGGGUUGUAAAGCUCUUUUACCAGAGAUGAUAAUGACAGUACCUGGAGAAGAAGCACCGGCUAACUCCGUG
rnacentral:rRNA from 1 species